UACGAAGGGUGCAAGCGUUACUCGGAAUUACUGGGCGUAAAGCGUGCGUAGGUGGUUUGUUAAGUCUGAUGUGAAAGCCCUGGGCUCAACCUGGGAAUUGCACUGGAUACUGGCAGGCUAGAGUGCGGUAGAGGAUGGCGGAAUUCCCGGUGUAGCAGUGAAAUGCGUAGAGAUCGGGAGGAACAUCCGUGGCGAAGGCGGCCAUCUGGACCAGCACUGACACUGAGGCACGAAAGCGUGGGGAGCAAACAGG
rnacentral:rRNA from 2 species